rnacentral:rRNA from 1 species
UACGUAGGGGGCUAGCGUUGUCCGGAUUUAUUGGGCGUAAAGAGCGUGUAGGCGCCAGGUAGGUCUGCUGUGAAAACUCGAGGCUCAACCUCGAGACGUCGGCGGAAACCAUCUGGCUAGAGUCCGGAAAGAGGAGAGUGGAAUUCCUGGUGUAGCGGUGAAAUGCGCAGAUAUCAGGAAGAACACCAGUGGCGAAGGCGACUACCUGGCCUGUUCUUGACGCUGAGGCGCGAAAGCUAGGGGAGCAAACGGG